AUACUUACCUAGCAGAGGAGAUAGAUAACAUGAUCAGGCAAGUGUUUUUCCCAGGGCGAGGCUCAUCCCUUGCACUCCAGGUGUGCUGACCUCUGCGAUUUCCCCAAAUGUGGGAAACUCAACUGCAUAAUUUGUGGUAUUACCUUAGAUAGUUUUUCAGCAUC
rnacentral:snRNA from 1 species